rnacentral:rRNA from 1 species
AUACGGAGGAUGCGAGCGUUAUCCGGCUUUAUUGGGUUUAAAGGGAGCGUAGGUGGGAUAUUAAGUCAGCUGUGAAAGUUUGGGGCUCAACCUUAAAAUUGCAGUUGAUACUGGUUUCCUUGAGUACGGUACAGGUGGGCGGAAUUCGUGGUGUAGCGGUGCAAUGCUUAGAUAUCACGAAGAACUCCGAUCGCGAAGGCAGCUCACCGGGCCGGAACUGACACUGAUGCUCGAAAGUGCGGGUAUCAAACAGGAUUAGAUACCCUGGUAGUCCGCACAGUAAACGAUGAAUACUCGCUGUUUGCGAUACACUGUAAGCGGCCAAGCGAAAGCGUUAAGUAUUCCACCUGGGGAGUACGCCGGCAACGGUGAAACUUAAAGGAAUUGACGGGG